GUGAAGCAGGCUGUCCCCCUGCAGCCCGUGGAGGAAGGAUGAGGGUGUGUAGAGAUUCCACCUGCAGCCCGUGGAGGACCCCACAAGGGAGCAGGUGGAGGCACCUGAAGGAGGCUGUGGCCUGUGGGAAGCCCACGCUGGAGCAAGUUCCUGGCAGGACCUGUGGACCUGUGGAGAGAGGAGCCCACGCCAGGGCAGGUUUGCUGGCAGGACUUGUGACCCCGUGGGGGACCCACGCUGGAGCAGUCUGCUCCUGAAGGUCUGCACCCCAUGGGAGAGACUCACGUUGGAGAAGUUGGUGAAGGACUGUCUCCCAUGAGAGGGACCCUAUGCUGGAGCAGGGGAAUGAUGAGAGGAGUCCUCCCCCUGAGGAGGAAGGAGCGGCAGAGACACCGUAUUUUGUGAUGAUUUUGAAGCUGAAUGCCACAGGAUUACAACGUUGACCUCUACAAGCUAACACACAAGCAACUUCUUUUGACUAUUCAACCUUGAGAGUCUACAAUCACAUUAAGAGUUCCCAAAUGCAAUACAAAGAUGCAAAGAACCUGGAGGAUUAUUUUAUUUUUUUUACAUCUCUGUCUGAACUGAUAUUAUUUUUAAUGCUUUACCAAACACCAGAACAAAAAUUCAGACUUUGUAAUGGUGAUUUUGAAAUCAGAUGAGAUUCUGUUCUGAACAGGAAGCUCUUUACAGGGAUACAUAUUCACCUCUUGUAUUAAGUCAAGGCCAGAGAACAUCUUUUGCAUUGUUUAAGCCACCCAAGCCAUAAGGAAGACUCUUAGCUUUGAAUUUAUGAGCCCCAUUAACUUCCCCAGGAAAAGUCCCCUCUCUUACUAAAUCAUUCCCUGGGAGGGGAUGACUUCACAAAGCCUCCUUGGAGGAGUAAGAAUACAACAUUGCUUUGUAGGGUUCCUGAUAAAAAUUAAUUAGCAAAACUUACUGUGUAAAUUCAAGAAUAUGCAAAUGCAAACAAAUCUGAAGGCAUGUGUGCAGAGUUGAUGCUGAAUUAAUGUUAUAUUAUGCAUAAAAUGUAUAAAUAGCUUACCUGUUUAAUGAAAUAUUAAAUGUUUUGUGAGGUAAUUGGGUAUAAUAAUGCUUCCAUUAAAUAUACAUACAUAGAUACAAAA